UACGAAGGGACCUAGCGUAGUUCGGAAUUACUGGGCUUAAAGAGCUCGUAGGUGGUUAAAAAAGUUGAUGGUGAAAUCCCAAGGCUUAACCUUGGAACUGCCAUCAAAACUUUUUAGCUAGAGUAUGAUAGAGGAAAGUGGAAUUUCUAGUGUAGAGGUGAAAUUCGUAGAUAUUAGAAAGAACACCAAAUGCGAAGGCAACUUUCUGGAUCAUUACUGACACUGAGGAGCGAAAGCAUGGGUAGCGAAGAGG
rnacentral:rRNA from 1 species